GAUGAACGCUGGCGGCGUGCCUAAUGCAUGCAAGUCGAACGCACACCUUCGGGUGUGAGUGGCGGACUGCUGAGGAACACGUGGGUAACCUGCCCCGCAGUGGGGGAUAACACGUCGAAAGAUGUGCUAAUCCCGCAUACGAUCCUUCGGGAGGAAAGCAGCAAUGCGCUGUGGGAGGGGCCUGCGGCCCAUCAGGUAGUUGGUGUGGUAACGGCGCACCAAGCCAAUGACGGGUACCUGGUCUGAGAGGACGACCAGGCAGACUGGGACUGAGACACGGCCCAGACUCCUACGGGAGGCAGCAGCAAGGAAUUUUCGGCAAUGGGCGAGAGCCUGACCGAGCAACGCCGCGUGCAGGAUGACGGCCUUCGGGUUGUAAACUGCUUUUGGAUGGGACGAUAAUGACGGUACCAUCCGAAUAAGCCCCGGCUAACUCCGUG
rnacentral:rRNA from 1 species